UUGAGAGAAAUUGUCGAGCUUUUAGAGGGAGAAUUUUUGAAUGACCUUGGCACGGUCUAAUUAUUACUCGAACUGCAGUUCGAGUAUAUAUGUAAUUAUAUUUUACUAAUCCCUCAAGUACAUCUAGAAGAUGAUGUUUGGAUAUUUUAGUAUGGACAUAGUUAAACCUUAAAGUAUGUUAAAGGUUGUUAAGUCAUUUGUUAUAAGAAAUGACUAUUAUCAUCUCCUACCAAAGUAGAGAUUCUCAUUCUAGAAGUACCAUCAUUAAAUGCAUAAGUGCAUUAAUAUGUUUUGCUAGCUAUGUGUGGUUAUAAUAUCUUUUACUUGAGCUUAUUGUCAUGAUAUAAACUUUGUCAAGUAAAGAGACAUUGGAAUGAGUUCAAGGAAAUAUUUCAGAUGCAGGAAUGUAACAAAACACAGUCGUGCACAUUAAGGGAUCAAGCGACAAAUCAUUGGCUACAAAAGCUUUGUUCGACUUUCAAGGAAGAUGGACACACGUCACUUAAAGGAUACAUGUUAAAAUGAGGGGGAGACUUAUUCAAGUUGCACUCUUUUUCCCUUAACUAAGUUUUGUCCCAUUGGGUUUUCUUAGUAAGGUUUUUAAUGAGGCAACAUACCUGAUCCAAAAGUAUCAGGAGGAGAAAAUACGCGCUGCACUCUUUUUCCCUUAGCUGAGGUUUUGUCCCACUGGGUUUUCCUAGCAAGGUUUUUAACGAGGCAGCAUCACCAAGCGUAUUAAAGGUAUGUGGAUAGUCAAGGAGGAGUGUUAUGAAUGUAUCAUUUAUAUUGUGACUCUCCACAUACAUAACUUAUCUAACUCUUAUCUCUUUAGUUCCUUUAAUAUUAAUGUAUGUGCCUAUAUGUAUAAUGGCAUUUGUGUAUGGUGAAAAUAGAUCAAUCAAUAAGAUUUACAAUCU
rnacentral:lncRNA from 1 species